rnacentral:rRNA from 1 species
AACGAACGCUGGCGGCAGGCCUAACACAUGCAAGUCGAACGCUCCGCAAGGAGAGUGGCAGACGGGUGAGUAACACGUGGGAAUCUUCCUAUCGGUACGGAAUAGCUCAGGGAAACUUGAGGUAAUACCGCAUACGCCCUUCGGGGGAAAGAUUUAUCGCCGAUAGAUGAGCCCGCGUCUGAUUAGCUAGUUGGUGGGGUAAUGGCCUACCAAGGCGACGAUCAGUAGCUGGUCUGAGAGGAUGACCAGCCACACUGGGACUGAGACACGGCCCAGACUCCUACGGGAGGCAGCAGUGGGGAAUAUUGGACAAUGGGCGCAAGCCUGAUCCAGCCAUGCCGCGUGAGUGACGAAGGUCUUCGGAUUGUAAAGCUCUUUUGCCAGGGACGAUAAUGACGGUACCUGGAGAAUAAGCCCCGGCUAACUUCGUGCCAGCAGCCGCAGUAAAAC